AUUGAACGCUGGCGGCAGGCCUAACACAUGCAAGUCGAGCGGAGCGGCGGACGGGUGAGUAAUGCCUAGGAAUCUGCCUGGUAGUGGGGGAUAACGUCCGGAAACGGGCGCUAAUACCGCAUACUAUCAGAUGAGCCUAGGUCGGAUUAGUUAUGUGGUGGGGUAAAGGCAUACCAGGGCGACGAUCCGUAACUGGUCUGAGAGGAUGAUAAGUCACCCGGGAACUGAGACACGGUCAAGACCCCUAGGGAAGGCAGCAGGGGGAAAUAUUGGACAAGGGGGGAAAGCCUGAUCCAUCCUGGCCGCGGGUUGGAAAAAGGUCUCCGGAUGUAAAAGCCUUUUAACUUGGGAGACGUUACCAACAGAAUAAGCACCGGCUAACUUCGUGCCAGCAGCCGCGUAAUUC
rnacentral:rRNA from 1 species